GGCAUCUUUCAAAACUACAAAAAUCAUACAGGGUCAGCAUGCUGCAAAAGCUGAGGACUGUGAUGGAGAUACAGCUUGGAGUUUCUCUUGAGAAGAUAGAAAUUGACCCAGUACUUCAACCCAAGUCAGCAAAAAAGUUUUGGG